AUUACACGGUUGGUAUAGAGUCUGAAAAACUCAGAAAGUGUGUGUUGUCAUCAGCUUCUUCUCUUGUAUGUCAACGAGAUUGGAGUUAAAUAACAGCACUACAUUA
rfam:Vitis vinifera, whole genome shotgun sequence of line PN40024, unoriented chromosome 19, chr19